CAACGGAGCCGCAACCAGUUUAUAGUUCUUGGGAACAGCAAACAGCGCUGGAGAGAAAAGAAACAGUAACCAAUGAAAGCCGGCGACUUCAGCUCUGAUCACGAUAUGGAAGUUUAUUAAGUAAGUUCUCUUUGUGGUCUACAAACCUGUGGAGGCUCAAAGUUGGGGCGCCACCAGUUACCAAUACAGUCGUCGAUCACCCAGUCCUGCUUCACCCCGUCCUGUCGCCCAAGAAUCUAAAGUUCCAACAAAUGUUUUAACAAAUGUUUUAACAAAUGUUUUAACAAAUGUUUAAAGAGCUCAGUCAACACAGAAACACUGUGGUGUGCUGUAGUUACCUCAGCCAUCAGGCGUUUCAGACCCUCCACCUCGUCCUCUGCAGGAUUCAGUUCUCCACCAGGCCUGCACAGAGCAAACACACGUCAGACAACUGUGGGGCGUUAAAACCAGGAGCCUUUUAUCUGCUGUCAACUCACAGUUUAAAGAAAGUGGUGCCGAGCUGCAGCAGCAGCACGUGAGGCAGUCUGUGUUCAUGGACAAUGAGGACGCCUUCCACUGUCCUCCGCAUUCCCAUUUUAUCAAACUCUUCCCGCAUCCUCUGGAAACGAGCCGCCACUGAACUGUCCUUCUCAUACAGAGGCUCUUUGGUCCCAAAUGUGUAGUUGGUGAGAGGAUAUCUGGAAAAACACACAUCUGUAAAAUGACUAAAUAAACUGCCAACACAUUUUGGCCACAGGGGGAACAAGUGAGGUUUCUAACACCGUGAAAGUGGGCAGACUUUAUGUUGAGUAAACAAAUGAUUCUAUUGUCAGACGCUGCCAGACAAACCAAAUGAAUUCAUGACUCAUCUAAAUGUUUUAUAUCCA